rnacentral:rRNA from 1 species
GAUGAACGCUGGCGGCGUGCUUAACACAUGCAAGUCGAACGGAAAGGCCCAAGCUUGCUUGGGUACUCGAGUGGCGAACGGGUGAGUAACACGUGGGUGAUCUGCCCUGCACUUCGGGAUAAGCCUGGGAAACUGGGUCUAAUACCGGAUAGGACCACAUUUUGGAUGGUGUGGUGGAAAGUUUUUCGGUGUGGGAUGAGCUCGCGGCCUAUCAGCUUGUUGGUGGGGUAAUGGCCUACCAAGGCGUCGACGGGUAGCCGGCCUGAGAGGGUGUACGGCCACAUUGGGACUGAGAUACGGCCCAGACUCCGACGGGAGGCAGCAGGGGGGAAGAUUGCACAAUGGGCGCAAGCCUGAUGCAGCGACGCCGCGUGGGGGAUGACGGCCUUCGGGUUGUAAACUACUUUCGCUAGGGACGAAGCGUUAUGUGACGGUACCUGGAGAAGAAGCACCGGCUAACUACGUG